rnacentral:rRNA from 1 species
AUUGAACGCUGGCGGCAUGCCUUACACAUGCAAGUCGAACGGCAGCACGGGAGCAAUCCUGGUGGCGAGUGGCGAACGGGUGAGUAAUAUAUCGGAACGUGCCCAGUCGUGGGGAUAACGUAGCGAAAGCUACGCUAAUACCGCAUACGAUCUAUGGAUGAAAGCGGGGGAUCGCAAGACCUCGCGCGAUUGGAGCGGCCGAUAUCAGAUUAGGUAGUUGGUGAGGUAAAGGCUCACCAAGCCGACGAUCUGUAGCUGGUCUGAGAGGACGACCAGCCACACUGGGACUGAGACACGGCCCAGACUCCUACGGAGGCAGCAGUGGGGAAUUUUUGGACAAUGGGCGCAAGCCUGAUCCAGCAAUGCCGCGUGCAGGAUGAAGGCCUUCGGUUGUAACU